AGCAAGUAAAUGCCUCCCUCUAGACUGGGGGCUGUGCUGUGCUGGCAGGAACAAGGGGCGGGGCGCUGUUGGGUCGACAUCCAGCAGCACCUGCCCCCGGGAAGCAUUUCUCCCAGCCACACCUGCUCCAGAGAUGGAAUUCACUCUGCUUGGACUCUUGUCAUGGGUGCAUCCAGAACCACUUCCAGAUCUGGGGGAUUCGCCAGCGGAUUGGCCAGGCCAGGUCACAUGACCACCCUAAAACCCAGCAGCUCAUCCUGAGCUCCAUGGAAAAGGAGCGGAAAAUAUCUGUCAUUUCAGUUCAAAGGAGGAGCCACUUUGCAAAAGAAGAAAUGUACUCGCUAUCACAUCAGGAAGUAAAUCAAUGGAUAGUCAAGCAGACGCUAUGUGUUUCACUAUCACAGACAAAGCUGCAAUGAACAGCUGGUCCCUGGGCAUUUGCCCAAGACUCACUCAGAAUGGAGGUGACCUCGAGGGCGGAGUCCUGGGCUCAGCUGUCCAGGCGGCUCCCAUCCAGCGGGGCAGACCUCACAGCACCCGCAGUCACCAUCACCGUGCAGGACAGAGAACCCUAAUGUGCCUGCACUUGCGGGAAAUGCUUCUGUGAUGUGACCCGUGAUGCCUCUUCCGUGCACAGCAAUUGUCUAGAGUGCCUCCCCCGGCACCACUGAGCUUCGAGGGGACAGGAAGAAGCCGCUUUCUGCCCUUUCCUAAGGAGGGGCGAUCAGGACCUGCAGAAACCAUCAAGGUUUCCAUUGUUCUGCCUUCCACAAAAAAAUCGCUGCUUCUAAGACCCUCCCGUGAACAAAAUUUUGGAGCCACAGAUGCUCCUCAUGAUACAAAAUAAACAUUU